rnacentral:snRNA from 1 species
GGAUGUGAGAGCAAUCUGGUUGUGAUAUCUGUCACCCUAUUGAACAGGGUUGGUUCUGCUGGUCUGGCUGGCUAGGCAGGUGUCCCCUUCCUCGCUCACUGCUCCAUGUGUGUCCCUCCCAAGCUGCACCCUCAGGAUGACCUUCCCUGAAUAGAGAAGGACCAGGUCUUCGGUCAAGGGCAGAGAGUAGCUGUGCUCCCCUGCUGGAACCUCCAAGCAAGCUCAAGGUCCAAUUAGGCCUCAAGUAUUACUUUUGCUCACAUUACUGUGCUGUCUACAACAAACUUCCUGGUUUGGUGGUAACACUGU